rnacentral:rRNA from 1 species
UACGGAGGGAGCUAGCGUUGUUCGGAAUUACUGGGCGUAAAGCGCACGUAGGCGGCUUUGUAAGUUAGAGGUGAAAGCCUGGAGCUCAACUCCAGAAUUGCCUUUAAGACUGCAUCGCUUGAAUCUAGGAGAGGUGAGUGGAAUUCCGAGUGUAGAGGUGAAAUUCGUAGAUAUUCGGAAGAACACCAGUGGCGAAGGCGACUUACUGGACACAUAUUGACGCUGAGGUGCGAAAGCGUGGGGAGCAAACGGG